rnacentral:rRNA from 1 species
AUGAAGGCUCAAGCUGAUAAACAUAGAACAGAGAGAACAUUUGAGGUGGGUGACCAAGUUUUUCUCAAGCUUCAUCCAUAUCUCAGUCUUCAGUCGCCCCUCAGGCCAAUCACAAACUGGCCUACAAAUUCUUCGGUCCGUUCUCCAUACUGGAGAAAGUGGGCGAGGUGGCGUAUAAAUUGGAUCUUCCUGCUUCUAGCAAGGUACACCCUGUUUUCCAUGUUUCUCUGCUUCGCGAGGUUCUCAAAAAUGAUGAUCAAGUGUUGGCUCGGCUUCCCUCUACUGACGACAACUUGCGAGUACCUGAGAAAGUUCUCCAACAACGGGUGGUUCUCGUGGAGGCAAGAAAAUUCUCCAAUUGUUAUUGCAGUGGUCUGGUGA